UCAAUCUAAAAUGUUUAAAUUCAGUCAUCAUUUAUAGAGUUAUUUUAGUAGGAUUUAUUUACUCUUACAGUAUUUAUGUUUUGGCUGUUUGCACUGUGCAGAUCGAUCGUUGUAUGACAUUCAUGAGAGCUAUAGAGUGUGGAGCAGAUGGCUCCUUAUGCUUUCAAAUCGCUCUCAUGGUACUUUGAUGUCAUGAUCGUUGUGCAGCGAUGCUUCAAGUCCAACGAACAAACAAACACAUGUGCAUAUUUGCAUCUGUUUGAUCGUUCUCUGUAGAUCUCACCUUCUCACGUGCCACGAUUGGUCGAUUACAUACAAUACCUGCAUGUUAUUGGUCAAACUACUGUACUUUGGAUGUUUUAGGCAAUAUAAAAAUCCUGGCCAGGACGUGUCUUGUAUGAAUGGCAAAAAUGGCAACACUAUUUCUGUGUGAACUAUUCCUUUACGCCUUUAUUAACUAUAAUCUGUCAAAUUUCUUUGGUACCCAUGACAUUUUUAGGCCCCUUAUGAUUCCCGAAAAGAGAUGUAAAUCAGUGAGCGUAACAGAAGGAUAAUUAAUGAGCCAUAUAUAAGGUUUAAUGAAAUAUAUCAGAUUUGGCUUUAGGUUGGUUCUAUAAGCCUCUGCUGUGGAGAAUAAAAUUCUGUGCGCCCAGUAUGAAUUAUAAAUGAAAUCCAUUGUGCCCCCACUGUGAUUUCCUGCAGGCUUGGUGCUGAGGUCAUUGUGUCUUGUCUGGAGAACUGUGACAGAUUAAUGUCUAAAUGAAACAGAAUUUAUUUUCCGUGCAUAUCUUGUAGAUCGCUGCAGUAUAAGGUGCACACAUGCAGUAAAUCGAUACGUGUAUGGUAGUGUGUGGUUGCGUAUGUCUUGUGUGUGUGUGUGUGUGUUUGCACGCACAAUUGUGUUCAUGUGCCUCAUUCCAUGGACAAAAAAAUCUAAUUUUUUCAUGAGUCAUGUUUGCUGAACUAUCCACAGCAGCAAAUAGGUUCUUUUUCUGCCAUCCUAGGGCAAAGGAAAAAGAGGCAUAAUGAGCUUGUCUUCUUUUUUUAUUUUCAUAAACUCUCUUGACAUCGGUCAGACCCUGCGACUGCUAUUCACUUUUGCAGAUGCUAUUGAGAGGGGCCGGCCCCCCAGGUUUUACUGCUGUUGUGAAAACACGGUGAAUAAAAUUCAUGAUGAAA